CAAAUUAAAGCUUUUAGAAGUAUUUUAUUUACAUUAAAAGGAUUAUUAAGGUUUAAUAUAAUUUGA
rnacentral:tRNA from 1 species